GCUGGGUGUGGUGGCGCAUGCCUAUAAUCCCAGCUACUCAGGAGGCUGAGGCAGGAGAAUUGCUUGAACCCAGGAGGCAGAGAUUGCAGUGAGCUGAGAUCUCGCCACUGCACUCCAGCCUGGGUGACAGAGUGAGAUUCUGUCUCAA
rnacentral:SRP_RNA from 1 species